rnacentral:rRNA from 1 species
GCUCCUCUGACGUUAGCGGCGGACGGGUGAGUAACACGUGGAUAACCUACCUAUAAGACUGGGAUAACUUCGGGAAACCGGAGCUAAUACCGGAUAAUAUAUUGAACCGCAUGGUUCAAUAGUGAAAGACGGUUUUGCUGUCACUUAUAGAUGGAUCCGCGCCGCAUUAGCUAGUUGGUAAGGUAACGGCUUACCAAGGCAACGAUGCGUAGCCGACCUGAGAGGGUGAUCGGCCACACUGGAACUGAGACACGGUCCAGACUCCUACGGGAGGCAGCAGUAGGGAAUCUUCCGCAAUGGGCGAAAGCCUGACGGAGCAACGCCGCGUGAGUGAUGAAGGUCUUCGGAUCGUAAAACUCUGUUAUUAGGGAAGAACAAAUGUGUAAGUAACUAUGCACGUCUUGACGGUACCUAAUCAGAAAGCCACGGCUAACUACGUGCCAGCAGCCGCGGUAAUACGUAGGUGGCAAGCGUUAUCCGGAAUUAUUGGGCGUAAAGCGCGCGUAGGCGGUUUUUUAAGUCUGAUGUGAAAGCCCACGGCUCAACCGUGGAGGGUCAUUGGAAACUGGAAAACUUGAGUGCAGAAGAGGAAAGUGGAAUUCCAUGUGUAGCGGUGAAAUGCGCAGAGAUAUGGAGGAACACCAGUGGCGAAGGCGACUUUCUGGUCUGUAACUGACGCUGAUGUGCGAAAGCGUGGGGAUCAAACAGGAUUAGAUACCCUGGUAGUCCACGCCGUAAACGAUGAGUGCUAAGUGUUAGGGGGGUUUCCGCCCCUUAGUGCUGCAGCUAACGCAUUAAGCACUCCGCCUGGGGGA